rnacentral:rRNA from 1 species
GUAGGUGGCAAGCGUUGUCCGGAAUUAUUGGGCGUAAAGCGCGCGCAGGCGGUUCUUUAAGUCUGAUGUGAAAGCCCACGGCUCAACCGUGGAGGGUCAUUGGAAACUGGAGAACUUGAGUACAGAAGAGGAAAGCGGAAUUCCACGUGUAGCGGUGAAAUGCGUAGAGAUGUGGAGGAACACCAGUGGCGAAGGCGGCUUUCUGGUCUGUAACUGACGCUGAGGCGCGAAAGCGUGGGGAGCAAACAGGAUUAGAUACCCUGGUAGUCCACGCCGUAAACGAUGAGCGCUAAGUGCUAGGGGGUUUCCGCCCCUUAGUGCUGCAGCUAACGCAUUAAGCACUCCGCCUGGGAGUACGGCCGCAAGGCUG